UCCGUCUCUCCUUUCCUCAACGGGCAAUCGCACUCUCCCCUCGGGAACGCUUGGAAAUCCCACCUCGGCCUCAGAACUACUCGCCACCAACAAAAUGACCACUUCCACGGCCGCGCAACCACCAGGCCUAGCUAUGGACAUCCUCCCCUUCAUAGACAUGACAAAGCUCUCCCAAUCAGAGCUCCGUGCCCUCUCUCUCUGUUCUUCCUCCUCCUUUGACCCCCGCCGCAGCGACGACUCUGUAACAUUCACCAUUGAUCGCUCAAGCUUCAAUGAGAGCGCUGGCUCACGCCGCCAGACCUACUCCCGACUUUCAUCCCACCAUCACCAUCGCCACCGCUUGGCCGGUCUUCUUCCCAAAACCCUCAAUCCGCCUAGUCCCACUCCCCCUCCCUCAAACGAUCCCUCCACUGACACCGACCACCUUGAAAACCACUCCAUAAUUAGUUUCCUCAAACAAUUGCUUUCCACCCACCCCGAAUUCCAGCAAUUGGAUUUAGUAGAUUUCGAUAGUUUUAGCCAUCUUAACGAUGCCAUAAAUUUCAAUUCUCAUCCAUCACCACUAGCAGCAGUAGUAGAAGCGCCUGUGGUAAAUGGGAACUUUAGAAUUGGGGAAAGGAAGAGGAAAAGAGGAAGGAAGCCGAAAGUGAAAGUAAUAAGUGCAGAGGGGAGAGAGAGGGCGAUGGGGGCGGAGAUUGUGAACAAAAAUGGAGUUGUGGUGGAUUUGGUGGGGUUGGCGAGUCUGGAGGACCCAUUCAGGGAGGAAUUAAGGAGGAGGACGGAAGGGAUGGAUAAAGAGGAGGAGUUGUUGGGAUUUUUCAGGGACCUUGGAGGGCAGUGGUGUAGCAGGAGAAGGAAGAGGAAGAUUGUAGAUGCUGGCGAGUUUGGUGACGUCUUACCUGUCGGUUGGAAGCUCCUACUCGGGCUCAAAAGGAAAGAAGGCCGUGCUUGGGUUUAUUGCCGCAGAUACAUAAGCCCCAGUGGACAACAAUUUAUAUCCUGUAAGGAAGUUGCUGCAUAUUUGCAAUCACUUUUUGGACCAUAUGAUGCUCAACAAGUGAAGGAUCAUGCAGGUGACAGUAUCCAGCAGGUCCACAGACUAGCUUCUGAAAGUUAUGGAGGUGCGACCAAGAAGGAUGAAGAUCAGAGGCAAGCUAGUGAACAUGAGAAGGCUGUUGCCUUGCUGAGAAUUGACAAUUUGGAGUUGGCAGAGGUUCAAAUACAGGACCUUUUUGAAUGCCACAAAUGUAAGAUGACAUUUGAUGAAAAGGACACAUAUUUGCAGCACCUUUUGUCAUUUCACCAAAGGACUACAAGGAGGUAUAGACUUGGUUCUUCUGUUGGUGAUGGUGUAAUAGUUAAAGAUGGAAAAUAUGAAUGCCAGUUUUGCCAUAAGGUGUUUCAUGAAAGGCGACGAUAUAAUGGUCAUGUAGGAAUCCAUGUGAGGAAUUAUGUGAGGGGGAUUGAAGAAUCACCUGGUAGCAGGAUGGCUUUGCUAAAGAGAAGUGACUCUUCAAAAAAAGAUGAAAUGCAUAUAAGAAUCUCCAAAAUGGGUGCUUCGAUUGAAAUAGCUCAGAAUUCCAUUCAAGAAACAUCGUCUUCUGGCCCUAAUGGUGAACCCAAUAGUGGGUUUUCUUCUAGUAAACAGGAUCUGGCUCCUAAUCAAGAACUUUUAGCUUCUGUUUCUGAUUGUGAACUGAAAUCUGAUUCUUCUCUUAGUGAAUCCGACAUAGAAUGUGGCAUGAUUGACGAAUCUCAGGAAUUGGAGUUAUGUCAGCAACAAAGUGAUCAUAUGAUUGAUAAAGGGAUAGGAAUGAUUGAUGAUGCUAACAAUGUCCUAGAUGUUGAGUUAGAUUCUUCAUUUGCUAUUGAGCAACAUGGUAAUACAUCUAAAGCGCUUGGUGGAACAUAUUGUUUGGCAGUAUUCACUGAUGAAGUGGACAAUUCUGUCAUUGAGCAGGAAAGAGGUUCUGAAUGUUGCUCCCCUGCACCAAUGAGUGAUCAGAAACUUUGUAGCAUUGAGAAUGAUGUCAAUUUGGUUGGCACAGACAAACAAGAGAACUGUGAGACUGACAAAGUGGAUAAAACGAGUAGUGUAGAGGUUGAAAUUGGCAUUGUAAGCAAUGAUAGGGAAGCAGAUAAUGAUAUUGUACCAGAAACUGUGCAGCAAUCUUUCAAGGAAGGUGGGUGGACUUUAGCAUGGAGUUCCACAGCCACCUGUAUCCAUAUUGCAACAAUCGUGGGGUUUUUCAGCACCCAGUGUGAGGUUAGAUCAGGUAUUCAUGGGUUCAUAGUUGUUUUUGGUUACUUUUUUAUUUACAGUAAAUUUGAACACUUAAAAGAAAAUUUCAAAAAUCUUUGAAUUUUUUUUCUCCUUUUUGUUGGUGAUGGGGAAAAAAUAAUUAGGAAAGAGAAUGUACACUAUGUGACUGAGAGUGUCCUAUUAUGUUUAAGAAAUAUGCUUAAUGCUACGACACGACCGUCUAAGUUUUCAUCUUACUUUGCUCUACAUUCAAGUCAAAUUAAUUUGUCUUUUGUGAUUAAUACAUGCUGAUGGUACAGGCUACGUUGGAAAAUAUUUAAAAUUCUGGGAAGAUGGAUGGUACAUGUGGGACUGAGAAGUGCUGUUUAAUGACCUCCCCCUUGUCUCCUCUUCCUGCUGUGGUUUAAUUUGCAUAUUCUAGGGAAUUUUCCCCUAUAUAACUUCAUUGCAGAUGGUAGACUGAGCCAUCACGUCAUUCUCUUCGCUGACAAUGAAAGAAUUGCUGGUUUAAAGACCAUAGUGAUUCCUAUAACAGAUGUGAAAGAAUUCUGGUUUAAAGACUAGAAAAGAAAUCUGUGUCUGACAUUCUCAUUCCACUUGUUUAGGAAUAUGAAUUUGCAUAUUGAUGAGGGAUACCUGCUGAAAUUUUGCAGCAAGAUUAUCGCUGUUAUCUUUAUGUGCGAACAUGCAAGUAUUUCUUACUGGUAAUUACCAUGUAAUUGGUAGGUUUGAUGGAUAUUUGAUUCUUGUGUCUGUAAAUAUUGACAAUGAGGACCAGUUGGAUGUACAUACUACACACUGAUGUAUAUCAUAAUAUGAUUUUUUGUGUUGCUCUU
rnacentral:misc_RNA from 1 species